rnacentral:ncRNA from 1 species
AAUUAAGCAAUGACAAGGAAAGUAAAUCGUAGUAUUGCCUGCAGAGAGUUUCCAAUAUGGUGAAAGGAAAUGACAAGCCUACCUUUGAAAAUGGCCUUCGAGCAUGAAUUUGCGAUAUUUAGCAAGUUCAGGGUCCGCCCUCUACCGCGGUAGUGUAUCGCCCAUGUGGCCGUACAUGAACCAAGGUGGAAUCUCCAUAAAGAUAGGUGGUACCGCGUUUAAACGCCCUAUUA